GCGAGGCGUGAGGGGGUGGUUCUCAGGGAUUUGCUGAGCCAAGGUUCCCACAGCCCCAGGGGACAGGGGACGUCUGGGUCACCACCGCACUCGGGGGCGAAUGGUUGGUACUUGACUCCCCCCCCCCCCCCCCCCGCCACUGCCUGCUAAGCUCAGGACAGACGUGCAGGUUCUGAGGUUCCUAAGCUGGGGACGGGGGAGCCCCCAAGUUGCCCCUUGGUCAGAGCCCCGGUGAGGCCCGGCUUGCUGUGCGGAGCACCAGACAGCACCCCCUCGGAUUGGAGAGCCCCCCCCCCCACCGAAUUGGAGGGCCCCGUGGGGGCUGAGGCCACAGAGCCGCCCCCCAGGACAGGGGCACGGGCGCAGACGCACACCGGCACGCACAGCCGUCUGACCCGCCAGGGCGCUGAGAUCUGAAGGCUGUGGUUAGAGCCCCUCUUCCGUGCCCCUGCCAGAGAGAGCCUUGUUCACACACCCCGACACCCCUCUCAUCCCACCCCGACCCCCAGCGCCCUGUGGGGAUGGGGGGUGGGUUGCAGAAACUGAGCUCAAGGAACUUCAGUCCCUCUGCCCAGGGCCACAGACUGGGGGAGGUCCAGGACCCUAGACCCCAGGCCACAGCACAUGGCUCCCUCCACGUGUGGGGCUUGUGCAGGUGGCCAGGCCAGAAGGGGCCUCCUGCUGGCUGACCUGAGGGCCACCUUCCAGCCGGGGACACCAGUGCUCCCAGUCAGUAGGUCCCUGGGCCCCCUGGGGCUCCCGCAGGGGGUCCCCAGACAGCCCUGCAGGCUCUCCCACCCUCGGGGUGCUCCUGCCUGCCUGUGAGCUGCUCCCCACUCUGAAUGUCAGGCUCCAUAAGUUGGGAACAACAGCCCCCUGGCCCCCUGACCAGGUGGAGCCUGUGGAGACUUGUUCUGGUGGGGAGACUCCCCGAGGUGAGCUGCCUGCCCUCCGUGCAGCCCUGAGUGAGCUCCUAGCCCCUUGGGCCCUGGGUACCGUCUUUGACAGGUGGUGACACCUGCCGGGCCUGGCUGCAUGACGCGGACGGGCUGAGCCUGGCGGGCACCCCGGGUCACGUACUGGGCACCCACCGUGGGCACGUGCCACACUGGGUGGCCUUCCGGGCCAGGGCCUGAGGCUCCCUCCCACGCUCUGUCCCCACGGAGCUUCCCACGGCACGUUCCAGAGCCACGGGCACUGCCCCACAUCCACAUGAUGAGGCGAAGCACAAGGCCGGGGCCCGGAGACACCGUGGGGUCAUGGCUGAGCAGGACCGCGGCCCCAGAGGACGUCAGCACACGCUGGUCAGGACAAGCUGCCGAGUGUCCCCAAUCUUUGUAAAUGGCCACCUGCCUCCGGAAGCCUAAGCUGAGCGCAUCCUCAGCAAAUACUGGGGGGCCUGGCUGCCUUCGACUGCUCAGCACCCCUGUCUCCCAGGUCUUCCCGACAGACCAGGUUUCUGCCCUGUGGCAGAAACCAGAAGCUGACCUCUGACACACACACACACACACACACACACACACACACACACACACACACACUCAUGUCUUACCCCACCAGCUCUGGCCAGCUUGGCCGCACAUCACAGCCGGCCUGGCCCUGCCCCCUUGCCUCCCUCCCUGCACCCAGGGAUCCUUCCUGAUAGGUCAGGUCUCCCUCCCAGAUCGCUGCCCCGCCCUUUCUAACCCUUCCCCUGCUCUCCCUGCCCUGCUCCGAGGCUUGUCCAGAGAGCCUCCCCAGACUUCUCACCCCCCCAGCCCCUGGUCCACAGUGGCCGGCUGGUCCCCACUGGGUCACCCCUGGGCCUGGUCCCCUCUACCCGCCUCCACAACAUCGCUCUCCCUAUCACAGAGAGAGGAGGGCGCUGCUCAGAGGGUUUCACGCAACUCACACCGUUGAACCCCCCAGAAGAGCUGGGUGGGACCGGUGUUUCCACCCUCCCUCCAAGGGGCCCCAGAUCCAAGCAGCCGUGGUGCCUGGCAGCAUAUACGCACAGAACCAGCAUCCGGGCCCCCGGGGCCAAUGGCUACGAUGCUCCUGGGCUGGACCACUGGGCCACACUGCCCACUGUCCACAGGGCGUGACCAGCCUCCAGGGGGGCCCUCCCCAGCCAGGUCAGGCCCACCCAGGCCCACUUCUGGAAUGCAGCCCAUGGCGCUCGCUCCCUGACCGAGCAAGGCCACGCGGGUGGUGGUCAGACGGCACCUACCCCCGCCCCCCUUGCCCAGCCUGCCCAGCCCCCACCUCGCCACUGCCCCCACCAGCAGCCACUCCUGGGUGUCGGGAGGCAGGCCAUGAUUCAGGCCUGAGUCAGCAGCUUUAGGAGAAGGACUUGGCCGCUUCUGCCAGC